rnacentral:rRNA from 1 species
UACAGGGGGUGCAAACGUUGCUCGGAAUCAUUGGGCGUAAAGCGCACGUAGGCGGUUCGUUAAGUCGGAUGUGAAAAGCCCUCGGCUCAACUGAGGAAGUGCACCCGAAACUGGCGAGCUUGAGUACGAAAGAGGAUCGCGGAAUUCCCGGUGUAGAGGUGAAAUUCGUAGAUAUCAGGAGGAACACCGGUGGCGAAGGCGGGUCUCUGGGCAGUAACUGACGCUGGAGGAGCGAAAGCGUGGGGAGCGAACAGG